GUGGGCACAGCUCAGUGGUAGAGUGUGUGCCUAGCAUGCACAAGGUCCUGAGUUAAACCCCCAGUACCUCCA
rnacentral:tRNA from 1 species